AACACAUGCAAGUCGAGCGGAUGAAGGGAGCUUGCUCCUGGAUUCAGCGGCGGACGGGUGAGUAAUGCCUAGGAAUCUGCCUGGUAGUGGGGGACAACGUUUCGAAAGGAACGCUAAUACCGCAUACGUCCUACGGGAGAAAGCAGGGGACCUUCGGGCCUUGCGCUAUCAGAUGAGCCUAGGUCGGAUUAGCUAGUUGGUGAGGUAAUGGCUCACCAAGGCGACGAUCCGUAACUGGUCUGAGAGGAUGAUCAGUCACACUGGAACUGAGACACGGUCCAGACUCCUACGGGAGGCAGCAGUGGGGAAUAUUGGACAAUGGGCGAAAGCCUGAUCCAGCCAUGCCGCGUGUGUGAAGAAGGUCUUCGGAUUGUAAAGCACUUUAAGUUGGGAGGAANGGUUGUAAAUUAAUACUCUGCAAUUUUGACGUUACCGACAGAAUAAGCACCGGCUAACUCUGUGCCANCAGCCGCGGUAAUACAGAGGGUGCAAGCGUUAAUCGGAAUUACUGGGCGU
rnacentral:rRNA from 1 species